rnacentral:rRNA from 1 species
UACGGAGGGAGCUAGCGUUGUUCGGAAUUACUGGGCGUAAAGCGCGCGUAGGCGGCUUUGUAAGUUAGAGGUGAAAGCCCGGGGCUCAACCCCGGAACUGCCUUUAAGACUGCAUCGCUUGAAUCCGGGAGAGGUGAGUGGAAUUCCGAGUGUAGAGGUGAAAUUCGUAGAUAUUCGGAAGAACACCAGUGGCGAAGGCGGCUCACUGGACCGGCAUUGACGCUGAGGUGCGAAAGCUAGGGGAGCAAACGGG